rnacentral:rRNA from 1 species
GAUGAACGCUGGCGGCGUGCCUAAUACAUGCAAGUCGAGCGAAGCGGGGACGGGUGAGUAACACGUGGAUAACCUCCUCUAAGACUGGGAUAACUUCGGGAAACCGGAGCUAAACCGGAUACUUAGAGAUGGAUCCGGGCUGCAUUAGCUAGUUGGUAAGGUAACGGCUUACCAAGGCAACGAUGCAUAGCCGACCUGAGAGGGGGAUCGGCCACACGGGAACUGAGACACGGUCCAGACUCCUACGGGAGGCAGCAGUAGGGAAUCUUGCGCAAGGGGCGAAAGCCGGACGGAGCAACGCCGCGUGAGUGAGGAAGGUCUUGGGAUCGUAAAACUCUGUUAUAAGGGAGGCGGUACCUAAUCAGAAAGCCACGGCUAACUACGUGCCAGCCGCCGCGGUAAUAC